rfam:Picea glauca, whole genome shotgun sequence.
ACAUGCCUACAACAUAGCAUUAAUGCACCGGAUCCCAUUAGAACACCACAGUUAAGAGCGCUUGGGCUAAAAUAGUACUGGGAUGGGUGACCGCUCAGGAAGUCCUAGUGUUUUACAUGCC